GUUAUUAUUAUUAUUUCCUCAGGUACCAUAACAAAUGUUUGGGUUAUGGGUCAUUCUUUUGUAAAGCAGGCCAGGUAAGGGCAGGAGCAGGAAUUUAUGGAUCAAAUUUGGACUUCAAUCGAGAUGGCGGCACAAUAUAUAGGAAAGGUGUAGGUGGUCUACAAUUUCACCAGUUAAUGGAACUCAUAUUAAAGUGUUGGUCUUGGCCUGCUCCAGCUGUUUUAACAUUUCAUAUGGUGGUAAUGAUAUAGGUGUGGUUAAAUCCGCGCAGUUAUCACGUAAGGUUAAGAAAAUGUUUGUUUGGUAUUACACCAUUCUAGUUUGGUCAGAGGUGGUCCAGUGCUGGUGAUGGUUAAGUGAACCAAGAGUUAAAAGCGCUGAGAAGAGUGAGUGGUAAGUUGAAUUUGGCAAGGUCAAGGUUUGCCACGAUUGGGAGGGUUUUUUCACACAGACAUUACAAAUGAG